UGUCCCCUCUGUCCCCAGGCUGGACCAGGACGGCGCCGAUCUCCUGGGGCAGCUGCUGCAGUUCGAGGGGCGGCGGCGGCUGCCGGCGGCCGAGGCCAUGGGACACGCCUUCUUCAGCUGCCUGGGGCCGCGCGUCAGCGCCCUGCCCGACACCACGUCCAUCUUCGCGCUGAAGGAGAUCCAGCUGCAGAAGGAGCCGGGGCUGCGCUCGGGGCCGCUGCCCCCCACGGGUGAGACCCCGAAAUCCUGAACCCCAAAA